GAUGAACGCUGGCGGCGUGCUUAACACAUGCAAGUCGAACGAGAAGUGGAGACGGAAACCUUCGGGCGGAAGACUUUACUUCGAGUGGCGGACGGGUGGGUAACGCGUGGGUAACCUGCCUCAUACAGGGGGAUAACAGUUGGAAACGACUGUUAAUACCGCAUAAGACCACAGCACCGCAUGGUGCGGGGGUAAAAACUCCGGUGGUAUGAGAUGGACCCGCGUUCGAUUAGCCAGUUGGCGGGGUAACGGCCCACCAAAGCGACGAUCGAUAGCCGAUCUGAGAGGAUGACCGGCCACAUUGGGACUGAGACACGGCCCAAACUCCUACGGGAGGCAGCAGUGGGGAAUAUUGCACAAUGGGGGAAACCCUGAUGCAGCGACGCCGCGUGAGUGAAGAAGUAUUUCGGUAUGUAAAGCUCUAUCAGCAGGGAAGAAAAUGACAGUACCUGAGUAAGAAGCCCCGGCUAACUACGUG
rnacentral:rRNA from 1 species